rnacentral:rRNA from 1 species
UACGUAGGGGGCGAGCGUUGUCCGGAAUCAUUGGGCGUAAAGCGCGUGUAGGCGGCUCGGUAAGUCCGGUGUGAAACCUUGGGGCUCAACCCCAAGCCUGCACUGGAUACUGUCGAGCUUGAGUCCGGGAGGGGAGAGCGGAAUUCCUAGUGUAGCGGUGAAAUGCGCAGAUAUUAGGAAGAACACCGGUGGCGAAGGCGGCUCUCUGGGCCAUUACUGACACUGAGAAGCGAAAGCAUGGGGAGCGAACAGG